rnacentral:piRNA from 1 species
UGGGCGGUCUUGCUUAAAGCCACAGAUGG